AUGUCGUGGAAAUCCCAGGACGAUAAUUUGGAUAAAACGGUUUGGAACCAGCUACGCCGUCUUGCUGCACAAGCGAAGUGGAGAAGACAAGGGCAACGGCGAUGAGCCUGACACUGCUGCAGGGCUACUCGUCGGAUGAACAAGAGGGUGACCUAACGACCUCUCCUGCUUCUUCUUCACUCGGAGACGACGGAGUCGAGCGAGAAGAGGACCACGAAGGAGAGGGCGACAGCGGUGAAGAAACCCUAAGGGAACGUUCCAAGCGGGGGAAAGUGAAGAAGAGGCCACUCGACGAAGCGCUCAAUCUGCCCGCCGAUUCCUUCCUCCCUUCUGCGCUAGAUGCAUUCAACGAGAUCACGGGACCUCCGGAGUUCCUUAAUAAUUGUGCGGCUGCUCCCGAGGAGACUCGCGAGGCGCUUGGAGUGCUCGAUCGGAAGGCUAGGAGUAGGUCAGGGAGGGACAAAAAGGAUCUGCCUGCUGGAGCUGUUGUUGAGGCCAAAGCUCAGCUAGUGGGGAUUCGUGACCGAGUAAGAAAUGAUAUAGAAGGAAGUUUUCCCUCAUCAACUCCUGGAAUAGUUCCUGCUAACAAGAGAAUAGUUUCUGCAACAAAUCCUGAUCCGAAAGAUGCUGCAGAAUUGUUAAGGGUAUGUUUACAGUGUGGAGUUCCUAAAACAUACUCUCACGCUCGUGGUAUGGUGUGUCCGCUGUGCGGAGAUCGUGCUCCUGCCGAGCAUACAAAUGAGUCAGACAAAAAGAAGGGAUCAGUCGUUAAGGACAAGGAGAAGAUGAAGAGGAUGAAGGGGCAAUCAAGCCACGCUACUUGGAAGAGCGAGACAGAGAUGCAACUGAGGCAGCAAUAUGAUUAGAGGAUGAUAGGUGGCUGUUAGAUUUGUAACCGCUUGCUUUCCUUCAUCCCAAUGCAGCUCAUUGGACUCUGCAUCGCAAUGCAGAGUUUUGAUCUUUACUCAGUAAGCAACUUUAGGGAUCCAAGCAAGUAAUUCUUUGCUAGCACAUACAGGCGUACUAAAGAACUUCCAGCGAUGGUUAUCCUGGAUGCCUCUUGAAGUCAGUAAUAGUAAUACCUGACAAGAAGGUUACUAGACUCUCCAGUCUCCACUCUUCAGCCAGGAUGAAUGAUGCUACAAGGACAACCCCACGAUGAUGAAUCAUGGCAUUUCGGAGGUUAUAGUAAAAAUUGGUCUUCAUUGGGAAGUGCAGGCCAUGUUAAGGUUUCUAUAAAGAAAGUCAGUUGAUGACUUCUAAUCAGCAUUGACAUUUGGACAAGCUCUCUUACCCUCUCUGCGUCGUCUUAUUCUCUCGCCGUCUAUUUCUACUCGCCUCGUUCUUGGCCAUACAAGGAGGGAUAAAUUGUGGUUUUGUUAAAGGUAAAGUAUGGUUAGGAAUGACAAUGUCACUCACCUUAAUUGUAUCCACAUCAGUCCCAUUGCAGUUGUUCCAUCCUGCUUAAAAGGGAGAAUGUGAGAGUGGAAUAAAAAUUUUUGUUCUAAAUCACCUACAA